rfam:Oryza rufipogon genomic scaffold, chr03
AAUAAGCAAAACCAUGAGUUUUUGUGUCCAACUUUGAUCGUCCGUCUUAUUUGAAAUUUUUUUAUAAUUAGUAUUUUUAUUGUUAGUAGAUUAUAAAACAUGAAUAGUAUUUUAUGUGUGAUUUAUGUUUUUUAGUAUUUUUUUAAAAAAAUAAAUAAGACGGGUGAUUAAAAUUGGACAUGGAAACUUAUGGUUGCGCUUAUU